rfam:Candidatus Magnetomorum sp. HK-1 HK1c0267, whole genome shotgun sequence.
CCCAGGGCGAUGCCCUGGGCUGGUAUAUAUCGCCCUUACAGGGCU